GAGACCAUCUUUUGCGAGCUGGGGAACCCCUUCAAACGGAACCAGAGGAUGGAGCUGCUCAUCGCCUUUGAGGUCAUCGGGGUGACCCUGCACACAAGGGACCUUCAGGUGCAGCUGCAGCUCUCCACGUCGAGUCACCAGGACAACCUGUGGCCCAUGACCCUCACUCUGCUGGUGGACUAUACACUCCAGACCUCGCUUACCAUGGUAAAUCACCGGCUACAAAGCUUCUUUGGGGGGACAGUGAUGGGUGAGUCUGGCAUGAAAACUGUGGAGGAUGUAGGAAGCCCCCUCAAGUAUGAAUUCCAGGUAAGGGGCUCGCCAGAGUCCUGGGCUGGGGACUUCUAGGAAGGAUUAUUUUUAUUUUCUCUGGGGUCUGAAGGUGGGAGGGUUGGGGGU
rnacentral:sRNA from 1 species